UAACUUAACCUAAUUCCUCUCAAUUCCUUUUCUUGACCUAAUUUACUCUCAAUCUUAACAACUGACAAGUGUAAUCAAUAAUUAUCAAACCCUAAGUUUCAAUCGAUCAUAUAUCCACUCUGAUUUCCUCAAUUAUUCACUGAAAGGUAAGUGAAAUCACAUUGUCGUGCAUUGGAGUGAGUUGAAAUUUGGUGUCUCCAUUGUCGUGCAUUGCAAGGUAUUACAUAGCAAAUUUGCAAGAGAAAUUAGACCAAAUAUGAUGGACAGUUCAUCACAACCUAUACCAAGAAUGAAAAUGACAAAGAGGGUCCAGCCAUUUAAAGCUCCAAGGCAAACAGAAAGUGGACAUCAAUGAAAGUGGAUAGAAGAGGGUCCAACCAUUUUGCAUUUUGAGAGUUCCUAAGCUGAUUGUUCACAAUCUGUUCACAUUUUGCAUUUUGAUAGUCUUUGAGGUGAUUUUUCACAAGUUGAAGUUGACAGAUUAUGAAACUUUUACAACUUACAACCAUAUAUUUUGGAUGGAUACCAUUUUGUAAAGACAUAUAUUGUUAAGUAAUUUUGAAUUAGAUGGAUGUGCAUAUGAAAAUUGUGCUUAUUCUGUAAAAAGAUGUGGAUAUCAACAUUUUCCACAUCAAUAUAU